GGAGCCUUUGCAAUGUGAGCUGAGCUGCAUCAGGCAGGCAGGGGCAGCAAGAUGAUGUCGCAGACACAGGUCCUUUUGUCCUUGUUGCUCUGGGUCUCAGGUGCCUGUGGGGACAUCGUGAUGACCCAGUCUCCAGCCUCCUUGGCAGUGUCUCUAGGAGAGAGGGUCACCAUUAACUGCAAGGCCAGUCAGAGUGUUAGCAGCUACUUAGCUUGGUACCAGCAAAAACCAGGACAGGCUCCUAAGCUGCUCAUCUACUCAGCAUCCAGCAGGGCAUCUGGGGUCCCUGACAGAUUCAGUGGCAGUGGAUCUGGGACAGAUUUCACUCUCACCAUCAGCAGCCUCCAGGCUGAAGAUGUGGCAGUUUAUUACUGUCAGGAGCAUAACAGUGCUCCUCCCACAGUGCUUCAGCCUCUAACACAAACCUCCCCAGAACCAGGGGUCAGUGAGUCUUUUCUGCACCAGCUGCUUCCUCCCCACACAGCCCUGAACAUGCACAUUCCUCCAUCUGCCUGAGAGGUCAUAUCUCUUGAUUUAUUCCCUGGAGGGAUUGUA